GUUGUCGUCAGCUCGUGCCGUGAGAUGUUGGGUUAAGUCCCGUAACGAGCGCAACCCUUGUCCUUAGUUACCAGCACGUUAUGGUGGGCACUCUAAGGAGACUGCCGGUGACAAACCGGAGGAAGGUGGGGAUGACGUCAAGUCAUCAUGGCCCUUACGGCCUGGGCUACACACGUGCUACAAUGGUCGGUACAAAGGGUUGCCAAGCCGCGAGGUGGAGCUAAUCCCAUAAAACCGAUCGUAGUCCGGAUCGCAGUCUGCAACUCGACUGCGUGAAGUCGGAAUCGCUAGUAAUCGUGAAUCAGAAUGUCACGGUGAAUACGUUCCCGGGCCUU
rnacentral:rRNA from 1 species